rnacentral:piRNA from 1 species
UCUUUACCUGGCUUGAUAACGUCAGGCACAAG